AAAGCUCAAAUUUGAAAUCUGGCAGCCUCAGGUUGUCCGAGUUGUAAUCUAUAGAAACGUUUUCCGCGCCGGCCCAUGUACAAGUCCCUUGGAACAGGGCGUCAUAGAGGGUGAGAAUCCCGUCCUUGACACGGACCACCGGUGCUUUGUGAUACGUUUUCAACGAGUCGAGUUGUUUGGGAAUGCAGCUCAAAAUGGGUGGUAAAUUCCAUCUAAAGCUAAAUAUUGGCGAGAGACCGAUAGCGAACAAGUACCGUGAGGGAAAGAUGAAAAGCACUUUGGAAAGAGAGUUAAACAGUAUGUGAAAUUGUUGAAAGGGAAACGAUUGAAGUCAGUCGUGUCUAUUGGACUCAGCCGGUUCUGCCGGUGUACUUCCUUUAGAUGGGGUCAACAUCAGUUUUGAUCGCUGGAAAAGGGCGGGAGGAAUGUAGCACUCUCGGGUGAACUUAUAGCCUUCCGUCGUAUACAGUGGUUGGGACUGAGGAACGCAGCAUGCCUUUAUGGCCGGGGUUCGCCCACGUACAUGCUUAGGAUGUUGACAUAAUGGCUUUAAACGACCCGUCUUGA
rnacentral:rRNA from 1 species